GAUGAACGCUAGCGGCAGGCCUAACACAUGCAAGUCGAGGGGCAGCACAGAAACAGCAAUGUUUUGGUGGCGACCGGCGGACGGGUGCGUAACGCGUAUGCAACCUACCUUUAACAGGGGGAUAACGGAGAGAAAUUUCCACUAAUACCCCAUAACAUCGAUCAAGGCAUCUUGAUUGGUUGAUAACUCCGGUGGUUAAAGAUGGGCAUGCGUUGUAUUAGGUAGUUGGUGAGGUAAUGGCUCACCAAGCCUACGAUACAUAGGGGGACUGAGAGGUUAGCCCCCCACACUGGUACUGAGACACGGACCAGACUCCUACGAGAGGCAGCAGUGAGGAAUAUUGGUCAAUGGGGGCAACCCUGAACCGGCCAUGCCGCGUGCAGGAAGACGGCUCUAUGAGUUGUAAACUGCUUUUAAACAGGGAUAAAGCACAGUAUGUAUACUGUGUUGAAGGUACUGUAAGAAUAAGGAUCGGCUAACUCCGUGCCAGCCGCCGCAGUAA
rnacentral:rRNA from 1 species